AUUGAACGCUGGCGGAAUGCUUUACACAUGCAAGUCGAGCGGCAGCAUGGACUUCGGUCUGAUGGCGAGCGGCGAACGGGUGAGUAACAUAUAGGAACAUACCCAGUAAUGGGGGAGUAACUCCGAGAAAUCGGAGCUAAUACCGCAUACGCCCUGAGGGGGAAAGGACGGGGGAGUCUUCGGACCUCGCGUUAUUGGAAUGGCCUAUAUCUGAUUAGCUAGUUGGUGAGGUAAAGGACUCACCAAGGCGACGAUCAGUAGCUGGUCUGAGAGGAUGAUCAGCCACACUGGAACUGAGACACGGUCCAGACUCCUACGGGAGGCAGCAGUGGGGAAUUUUGGACAAUGGGCGAAAGCCUGAUCCAGCCAUUCCGCGUGAGUGAAGAAGGCC
rnacentral:rRNA from 1 species